UUCCACUGCUGCUCCCAUUAUGACAUGACUGCAGGAACUGUAGGUGGCUUUUACAUCAAAUGUCAACCUAGACAUCAAUAUGAAUGAUGAAACCUCCCAGAGCUAUAACAGUGCCCAACAUCAAGAAGAUGACUUCAGGCCCAAUACCCUAUAUACUGUGCUACCUAGCUAUUCAUAGGAUGGAUUCAGAGAAACCUGGAAGGACCAGUAUGAACUGAUAUAGUGAAGUGAGCAGACCCAGAACCAUUAGUACAUUGAUGACAACAUUGUAAAACAAGAUGACUUCAAAAGAAUUAAGAAUCCUGAUGAUCAACCACAUCUCAAAAGCCUGAUGAUAAAUCAUGCUUUCCACUUCUUGACACGUAUUUUCAGAGCUGAAAACUGCUCCUUCUCCUUGGCUCUGUGCUCUGAGGUCUCCUCCCUCUCCGAAAAAAAAAAAAUUCUAAAAAACAAAUUCGUCUUGAGUGAAAGUAGAAAAAUGGAUCCCUGGGGAGACUGGACAGCCUGCUACCAUGGGGAUGGACCUUGGGCACAUAAACGGUGCGCUGAUCCCUUCCUGAUGACUCCUUCCCCUGGAAUGACUGUAACCAUGAAAAGUGAAAUAUCAGAUAAGUGAGGGAUUACUGUAUUUUCAAAACUGUCCUGCUCGUCUCUGCUUCCUUCUGAACUUCCUUUUGUUCUUUUCUGUUCAUUAA